GUGCUUGCUUUGGCAGCACUUAUACUGAAAUUGAAACGAAGCAGAGAAGGGUAGCAAUUCCUUGUGCAAGGAGCACAUGCAAACUCAUGAAGUGCUUUAUAUUUAA
ensembl:snRNA U6 U6 spliceosomal RNA